GACGAACGCUGGCGGCGUGCUUAACACAUGCAAGUCGAACGGAAGGGCCCUGCUUUUGUGGGGUGCUCGAGUGGCGAACGGGUGAGUAACACGUGAGUAACCUGCCCUUGACUUUGGGAUAACUUCAGGAAACUGGGGCUAAUACCGGAUAGGAGCUCCUGCUGCAUGGUGGGGGUUGGAAAGUUUCGGCGGUUGGGGAUGGACUCGCGGCUUAUCAGCUUGUUGGUGGGGUAGUGGCUUACCAAGGCUUUGACGGGUAGCCGGCCUGAGAGGGUGACCGGCCACAUUAGGACUGAGAUACGGCCCAGACUCCUACGGGAGGCAGCAGUGGGGAAUAUUGCACAAUGGGCGGAAGCCUGAUGCAGCAACGCCGCGUGCGGGAUGACGGCCUUCGGGUUGUAAACCGCUUUCGCCUGUGACGAAGCGUGAGUGACGGUAAUGGGUAAAGAAGCACCGGCUAACUACGUG
rnacentral:rRNA from 1 species